GAGAGUGCGCACUUCUCUCCUCAAACGGCGGCAUGGCAUGUUUCCCGGCCCUUCCCUGCCUCUCUUCUUAUUCUAGGAUUCUGGGGCGCCAGGUCUCGCAUGUGUUGGUCUGUGAGUGGAAGCUUCAGUAAUGGUGGAACAGGAGAAAACCAGAAGAGGAGAACCAAGAGUCCCAGGAGACGCUAUCAUGUGAAACCUCAAGGUCCGAAGUGCCUAGAACAGUGUCCUGUAUAUGGGAGACAUUCAAGACACAUUUACUGAAUGAAUAAAUGAAUGAAUGGCUCUCAAGUCAAGCUGGCUGGGUUCACAGUCUGCCCCUGCCAUCUACUAGCAAUGUGAUGCUUCCCAGGCCUUGCCUCCAGCACAACGGAUGCAUUUCAGGGGCAGCAGCUGCACUU